GGGGCCGUAGUCUAGCUUGGUAGGACCCGCGGUUCGGGACUGCGAGACCCAGGUUCAAAAGGUUCUGAAAAUCCUGGCGGCCCCA
rnacentral:tRNA from 1 species